rnacentral:rRNA from 1 species
CACGUAGGAGGCGAGCGUUGUCCGGAAUCAUUGGGCGUAAAGAGCGCGCAGGCGGCUUGGCAAGUCGGGUGUGAAAUCCCGGGGCUCAACCCCGGACCUGUAUCCGAUACUGCGUGACUAGAGGUAGGUAGGGGAGAUCGGAAUUCCUGGUGUAGCGGUGAAAUGCGCAGAUAUCAGGAGGAACACCGGUGGCGAAGGCGACUCUUUGGCCUGUAACUGACGCUGAGGCGCGAAAGCGUGGGGAGCAAACAGG